rnacentral:rRNA from 1 species
UGGCCAGACUCCUACGGGAGGCAGCAGUGGGGAAUAUUGCACAAUGGGGGAAACCCUGAUGCAGCAACGCCGCGUGGGUGAAGGAGCGUUUCGGCGCGUAAAGCCCUGUCAGCGGGGAAGAAGAAAGACGGUACCCGACCAAGAAGCCCCGGCUAACUACGUGCCAGCAGCCGCGGUAAUACGUAGGGGGCGAGCGUUAUCCGGAUUCACUGGGUGUAAAGGGAGCGUAGACGGCCGUGCAAGCCAGGAGUGAAAGCCCGGGGCCCAACCCCGGGACUGCUCUUGGAACUGUGCGGCUAGAGUGCGGGAGGGGCAGGCGGAAUUCCUGGUGUAGCGGUGAAAUGCGUAGAUAUCAGGAGGAACACCGGCGGCGAAGGCGGCCUGCUGGACCGCGACUGACGUUGAGGCUCGAAAGCGUGGGGAGCGAACAGGAUUAGAUACCCUAGUAC